GACGAACGCUGGCGGCGUGCUUAACACAUGCCAGUCGAACGGAAAGGCCCUGCUUUUGUGGGGUGCUCGAGUGGCGAACGGGUGAGUAACACGUGAGUAACCUGCCCUUGACUUUGGGAUAACUUCAGGAAACUGGGGCUAAUACCGGAUAUGAGCUCCUGCUGCAUGGUGGGGGUUGGAAAGUUUCGGCGUUUGGGGAUGGAGGCGCGGGUUAUCAGCUUGUUGGUGGGGUAGUGGAUUACCAAGGCUUUGACGGGUAGCCGGACUGGGAGGGUGACCGGCCCCAUUGGGACUGGGAUGGCGCCCAGAGGGAUACGGGAGGCAGCAGUGGGGGACAUUGCAAAAUGGGCGGAAGGCGGAUGCAGGAUCGUCGGGUGCGGGAUGACGGCUUGCGGGGUGGAAACCUGGUUCGCGUGGGACGCAGAGUGAGUGACGGUAAUGGGUAAAGAAGCACCGGCUAACUACGUG
rnacentral:rRNA from 1 species